GUAGGUGGCAAGCGUUGUCCGGAAUUAUUGGGCGUAAAGCGCGCGCAGGUGGUUCUUUAAGUCUGAUGUGAAAGCCCCCGGCUCAACCGGGGAGGGUCAUUGGAAACUGGGGAACUUGAGUGCAGGAGAGGAAAGUGGAAUUCCACGUGUAGCGGCGAAAUGCGUAGAUAUGUGGAGGAACACCAGUGGCGAAGGCGACUUUCUGGCCUGUAACUGACACUGAGGCGCGAAAGCGUGGGGAGCAAACAGGGAUUAGAUACCCUGGUAGUCCACGCCGUAAACGAUGAGUGCUAAGUGUUGGGGGGGUUUCCCGCCCCUCAGUGCUGCAGCUAACGCGUUAAGCACUCCGCCUGGGGAGUACGGUCGCAAGACUG
rnacentral:rRNA from 1 species